UACGGAGGGAGCUAGCGUUGUUCGGAAUUACUGGGCGUAAAGCGCGCGUAGGCGGCUUUGUAAGUUAGAGGUGAAAGCCCGGAGCUCAACUCCGGAACUGCCUUUAAAACUGCAUCGCUUGAAUCCAGGAGAGGUGAGUGGAAUCCGAGUGUAGAGGUGAAAUUCGUACGAUAUUCGGAAGGAACACCAGUGGCGAAGGGCGGCUCACUGGACUGGUAUUGA
rnacentral:rRNA from 1 species